rnacentral:sRNA from 1 species
UAUCUUGGCAAUAAACUAGAGAAUGUUGGGAGUUCAUGUGUUUUCAAACCUCUUUCACGGGUUCGGCUUUUGUGUUUUGCUUGAGGGCAAGCAAAGGUAAGUGUGGGGGAGUUGAUAUAACUCUAUUUUUACCGAUUUUAGCUAUGAUUUAGAUAUAAGUUUUAGAGUCUAAUUGUUAUUUCUAGAGUCUUUUCUAGUCCUUUUUAGGUCUUUACAUGUUUGGGAUGCAUUUGGAGAUUAUGGAGCAUUCUGGAGAUCAAAAGACAACUUAAGCUGUUGUAGAAAUCCGGAGACGAAAAUGCACGUAGGUGUC